rnacentral:rRNA from 1 species
UACGUAGGGGGCUAGCGUUGUCCGGAAUCAUUGGGCGUAAAGCGCGCGUAGGCGGCCCGGUAAGUCCGUUGUGAAAGUCAAAGGCUCAACCUUUGAAAGCCGAUGGAUACUGCCGGGCUGGAGUCCGGAAGAGGGGAGUGGAAUUCCUGGUGUAGCGGUGAAAUGCGUAGAGAUCAGGAGGAACACCCGUGGCGGAAGGCGCUCCCUGUCGGUUCGACGG